CAACGGAAGACUCGGACUUUAUGAAGAUGCUUAGGGGUCCAGCGGGACAAGGCCUUGGGAUUCAUGCCCACGAGGAAGCGACAGUUUUUGUCAGGCAGUUCCGACCCGAUGGAUUUUUGUUGGGACCGGCAGACGAGCC
rnacentral:ribozyme from 1 species